GUGGGCUCUCCUUCUAUUCUCAGGAGGAAACUAUGUCCAAUGGAAUAGGUAACUUGGAAAUUGGAUAGGAUUAUCCUUUUCAUCUCUACCCCAUAUGAAUGCUCAUGAAAUCAAAGCCAUAAAUAGAGCCUAAUAUACUAUAAAUUCAAGAAGGUGAAGAGGGAAGGAAGGCUAGGUCCUUUGUCACAUAGAAAUUUUCAGUUUAGGUUUUUUUGUUUUUCCUAGUCAUGAUAGUACCAUAAGAGAUAGUCUUUGUAUUCCUUUCUUUCUUGCCCUACUUUUCUUGCACUUCUUUCCUCUCUUUGUCACUCUUUACUUCUCUUCACUAGCAAGGUAUCUCAAAUUCCUUUGCUAUUGCUUUACCCCCUCCGUAGCGUUUCUCCAUAUAAAAUCAAGUUAUUUCAUUAGAGGCCAUUGUCUCCAAGAAUAACAUAGAAGAAUGGCAAUGGGUGCAAUGUCUGUGACAGUAACAGUUGUUGCUGCUGCAGCUGGGAUUUGUUUCUUCGACAAAAGCCACUCCAAAGCUCAGGAGCUGAGAAGCAGAAUGAGAUCAUCUAGUGAAAACAUGGUGGCAAAAGUGAAGAAGACCAGUGAGAUGCCAAAAUUAGCACCCCAACUGGAUGGAUUAAACUGUUUUGAAACAUUAAUAUGUCAUUGAUUCUGCUUGCUCUCCGUGGUUAAUUAUCUCCAACACUGCCUUGCAGAGGUUGUUAUUAAUGAUAAACCAUGGACAUAUCCUUCUUUAUCCAAAACAUUACUUAAUGCUUCUGUUGUCGCUAGUCAUGCAUUGCAUUGAUUAGACAUUACUAAGGCAAAAUGCUACAAUUUUUAGUCUAAACUUUUUCUGAUUAUGAUCUAUUUGUUAAUUCCUAUGGCAUGAAAUGAAAGAGGUUGAAUUGGAGGAAAUCAGGAGAGGGAUGUCUCCUAUGAAACUUCUCAUUCUAUUAAGAUUAGAUAUUGUACUUGA